rnacentral:rRNA from 1 species
GGAAUUUUGGACAAUGGGCGAAAGCCUGAUCCAGCAAUGCCGCGUGCAGGAUGAAGGCCUUCGGGUUGUAAACUGCUUUUGUACGGAACGAAACGGUCUUUUCUAAUACAGAAGGCUAAUGACGGUACCGUAAGAAUAAGCACCGGCUAACUACGUGCCAGCAGCCGCGGUAAUACGUAGGGUGCAAGCGUUAAUCGGAAUUACUGGGCGUAAAGCGUGCGCAGGCGGUUAUGUAAGACAGUUGUGAAAUCCCCGGGCUCAACCUGGGAAUUGCAUCUGUGACUGCAUAGCUAGAGUACGGUAGAGGGGGAUGGAAUUCCGCGUGUAGCAGUGAAAUGCGUAGAUAUGCGGAGGAACACCGAUGGCGAAGGCAAUCCCCUGGACCUGUACUGACGCUCAUGCACGAAAGCGUGGGGAGCAAACAGGAUUAGAUACCCUUG